rnacentral:pre_miRNA from 1 species
CAAAUACUCCCUCCGUUCGGAAAUACUUGUCAUCAAAAUGGAUAAAAGGAAAUGUAUCUAGACGUAUUUUAGUUUUAGAUACAUCUCUUUUUAUCCAUUUUGAUGACAAGUAUUUUUGGACAGAGGGAGUAGAAA